rnacentral:lncRNA from 1 species
UCUUAUUGAACUUCACAUGUAUUCAAUUUCAUAUAUCAAACAAUUUCCCACCUAUCCAUUGUUUCAUGUGAAGCAUACUCCAUUAUAUUGGAUAAAACUUAAAAGCAAUAUACACCAAGAGUCAAUGAAUUUAAGUCAUUUUUGCCUAAAACUUAAAAACAAUUCAAAGAGUCAAUAUGCCUAAUAUUCAAUUAUGAAUGCUUAAUUUAGAGGCAAAUGUUUAAACUUGUCUGCCGAUAACUUAUAUUUGAAUAUGAAGCUUUAUAAUUGUUGUUACUGCCAAUAAAGAUGUUUUUUUGUGAUAUGAAUUAAUUUUUAAAUGCCAGGCUUAUAAAAUCUGAAAGCAGGUAUUUAUGAAUAGCCUGGAUUGCAAUUUUGGUUGUAUUUAUGUACAAGUAUAAAUGUAUGCUAAAUAUGUGUGCAAUAAAUCAGUAUUAAGAUUUAAA